rnacentral:rRNA from 1 species
GACGAACGCUGGCGGCGUGCCUAACACAUGCAAGUCGAGCGGACUUAUGACGAAACACUAAAUGCUUAGAAGGAUGAGCAUUUAGUGUUUCGCAGAAAGUUAGCGGCGGACGGGUGAGUAACGCGUGAGUAACCUGCCUUCCGGUGGGGGAUAACGUUCCGAAAGGGACGCUAAUACCGCAUAACGCAGCGAGGUCGCAUGGCCUUGUUGCCAAAGAUUUAUCGCCGGAAGAUGGACUCGCGUCUGAUUAGCUAGUUGGUGAGGUAACGGCUCACCAAGGCGACGAUCAGUAGCCGAACUGAGAGGUUGAUCGGCCACAUUGGGACUGAGACACGGCCCAGACUCCUACGGGAGGCAGCAGUGGGGGAUAUUGCGCAAUGGGGGGAACCCUGACGCAGCAACGCCGCGUGAAGGAAGAAGGCCUUCGGGUCGUAAACUUUUGUCUUUGGGGAAGAAGAUGACGGUACCCAAGGAGGAAGCCACGGCUAACUACGUG